AGAUAGACCCCUGUAGUAUAGGCCCCUAUAGCGUAUUGCUCUCCAUACCCAUUGUGUGUGCAAAUAGGCCCCCAAAGUUCAAAAAAUCGAUCAAUUAAUCCCGUUUGACUAACCGUUGUUAGUCAAACGUUAGUCAAAUUUUAUUUUUACCCCCAAUUUCUUUCUUGAUCUUUCAAUUUCUACCCCCAAUUUCGACAUCUCCCUCGGCCUCUCUUCUCUUGCGGCGGCGACGAGGCCGCCGGUCACCUCUCCCUCAAUCCAAAACCAGUUAUCCUUCCACGGAUUUCAUAACAACAGUUUCCUAAUAACGAAAUUCAUCGCCCAAAGCUUCGAGCUCAAAGAAAUCGACCGCGCUCGCCAGUUGUUCGACGAAAUUCCUGACUGAAAUGUCUUCCUCUGGAAUGCAGUCAUCGAAGGUUAUUCAAUGCACAAAAUGUUUGAUAAAGAGGUACGUGGGAUGAGAUUUUGGGAAUUGUCACUCAUGGAUUUGGGAGAUGUGGGGAUUUUGAAGAAGGCGUUUCUUACGGCAUUGGGGUUUAUUUGUCGCCGGGAGAUGAUCCGAUUGAUUACGCAAUUAGGGUUAAGGAAGAUGAAUAUGGAGUGAGGCAUGUGUUGCUAUGUCGUGUGAUAUUGGGGAACACAGAGACGAUCGCGACAAUUCCAGCCGAGCUCCACCAAUAUUGACUCCGGAAUCGACAAUCCUCUCUCACCAACAAAAUACACGAUUUGGAGUGCUUUCUUUGGAACGGCGAAAUCAGCCGAGAGAGAGAGAGAGUUGGAUUGAGGGAGAGGUGACCGGCGGCCUCGUCGCCGCCGGAAGAGAAGAGAGGCGAGGGAGAUGUCGGCGGUGGCUGAAUUGGAAUUGGGGGUAGAAAUUGAAAGAAGAAGGGUUAAUUGCCCAUAAAAUACUGAUCUUUCGUCAAAUUCUAAUUUUGCACACAAACUUUGAACUGUAGCGUGAAAAUUACUAAACUUUAGAUUUUAUCUAUUUUUGCUACUAAUUCAAA